GAUGCUGCAGGACCUGUCAUCCGCUCUUUCAUUUCUUAACCGUAGAGUUGGCAACCAGAUUUACACACGUAAGUUGGCAACCGGCAUACCCGGGUAUUCCACUCGUUUUGAUGCAAAAAAUUAACGAUUUUCAUAGGUAAACAAUGCUUUAUAUAUUUUAAUGCUGUAAGCAAGUAGUGCCGACCAUAUAUUCUCUUCUAUUUCAUUUAUUCAUUAAGUUUUUUUCAUUUUAUUAUAAAAAUAACGGUCAAAUUGAAAUUUGGAAUCGCUUGAAUUUGACUCGAAAAUUGGCACAAUACGAAAAGAAGAAGAAGAGAAACGUCAUUCUCCAUAUAUGGAAUACCCGGGUAUGCUGGUUGCCAACUUACGUGGUAAAGUUAAAAAAAAUUCAAAAUAUAAUACUUACAGGCUGUUUAAAAUUACAACUUAUGCACCAAAAAAUCAUAAAUUAAAAGUUGAUGGGCUACGGAAAAUUUCAGGCCAAUAAAAGCAGUGAAUCAAAAGUUAUUGCAGUUUAAAGUUGAAAAAAAUACCUGAGUAUCCGGUUGCCAACUUAAAGGUUAAAGAGCAAUAAAUAGAGGAAUUUGAACGUUGCGGGGCUUCGGCUUUGGACGAAGCUAAAAAAGUGUUAGCCACUGCGCUAAGUGAUAUGGUUUCCUCGAGCAAUAGGCUAAACCCAUACCACUCUACUUGCACCCACAACAUUACUACGCGAACCAUGACUCACCGCACACACAACAAGACCUCUCCAACACAUCGAAGCGUACCCUACUAGCAAUGAGAAUGUAAAAGUGUGCGUCUUUCAGGCGAGGGGCAUGUAGAAGCCGGGGGAGACGGUUGGAAAUACGCGGAAUUACGCGGCGGCGAGAGCGUGUUUUGCUUUCUACACAGUUUUCGCACUCACACAAUCACACAUGUGUGAAUGUGUGCGUUCACUUUCAGCCAGCGCGCUCAGUUUGGUUUUCUCGCAGCGGCUUGCUGGUGUCGGUGUCUCGCUCGCACUAGUGCAGCGAGUGUUCCUCGUGCGUUCCCUUUCUUGCUACCACACAAAAUCGUCAGUACAGUUCAAGCCUUCGCAGUGUGAGGCCGCGCGCGUUUUAGCCUAAGUCCCGGGCGCUCGAUUAUUCAACAAACACAACAUACAGGCAGUAAGGCGGGUGCUUGAAGUGACGAUUUUUUUUAAAUAUUUAUAAUAAAAAAUAUGUGUGGUUUUGUGGCAAGAUUGUGGUUAGCGAUGUGUGGAACUGUGCCUUAAGUUUCAAUAAAGUGUUAAAAUAUCAAACGAGUUUGAUGUAAUUAAAUUUA